rnacentral:rRNA from 1 species
UACGUAGGGGGCGAGCGUUGUCCGGAGUUACUGGGCGUAAAGCGUGCGCAGGCGGUUUUGUAAGACAGAUGUGAAAUCCCCGGGCUUAACCUGGGAACUGCAUUUGUGACUGCAUGGCUGGAGUGCGGCAGAGGGGGAUGGAAUUCCGCGUGUAGCAGUGAAAUGCGUAGAUAUGCGGAGGAACACCGAUGGCGAAGGCAGUCCCCUGGGCCUGCACUGACGCUCAUGCACGAAAGCGUGGGGAGCAAACAGG